UACAGAGGUCUCAAGCGUUGUUCGGAUUCAUUGGGGCGUAAAGGGUGCGUAGGCGGCGCGGGUAAGUCGGGUGUGAAAUCUCGGAGCUUAACUCCGAAACUGCAUUCGAUACUGCCGUGCUUGAGGACUGGAGGAGGAGACUGGAAUUUACGGUGUAAGCGGUGAAAUGCGUAGAUAUCGUAAGGAAGACCAGUGGCGGAAGGCGGGUCUCUGGACAGUUCCUGACGCUGAGGCACGAAGGUCAGGGGAGCAAACGGGG
rnacentral:rRNA from 1 species